AUUGAACGCUGGCGGCAGGCCUAACACAUGCAAGUCGAGCGGCAGCACAGAGAGCUUGCUCUCAGGUGACGAGCGGCGGACGGGUGAGUAAUGUCUGGGAAACUGCCCGAUGGAGGGGGAUAACUACUGGAAACGGUAGCUAAUACCGCAUAACGUCGCAAGACCAAAGAGGGGGACCUUCGGGCCUCUUGCCAUCGGAUAUGCCCAGGUGGGAUUAGCUAGUAGGUGGGGUAAUGGCUCACCUAGGCGACGAUCCCUAGCUAGUCUGAGAGGAUGACCAGCCACACUGGAACUGAGACACGGUCCAGACUCCUACGGGAGGCAGCAGUGGGGAAUAUUGCACAAUGGGCGCAAGCCUGAUGCAGCCAUGCCGCGUGUAUGAAGAAGGCCUUCGGGUUGUAAAGUACUUUCAGCGGGGAGGAAGGCGGUGGAGUUAAUAACUUCACCGAUUGACGUUACCCGCGGAAGAAGCACCGGCUAACUCCGUGCCAGCCGCCGCCGUAA
rnacentral:rRNA from 1 species